rnacentral:tRNA from 1 species
GGGCCAUUAGCUCAGUGGUUAGAGCGCACCCCUGGAUAAGGGUGGAGGUCCCUGGGUUCAAGUCCA